UCCGAUGUUUACACGUAAUAAGAUGACCAAGCUUGAACUUACCCCUUCACGUUGUAAUGCAUAUCGAUAACUUCAUCUUGAGGAAACCUCUUUGAAAAAACUUUUCAGACGGUCCAUUGCGUUGAUCUGGAAAAAAAAGACUGCUACACAAACACUACGAGAAAUGCAAUUGGAAUGGAACCAUUCCGUUCGAGGUACGAAAAAAACCGCCACUUCUUCGUAAAUCACGUGUACUUUCACGUGGUGACCUUAGGUCAUCGCAACCAUCAUAGGUCAGCGGUCACAUAGUGACCUCACAGGUUAUCGUGUUCGACAUCACGAAAUGACUCCAAAGAGGUCUCGUUGCUGCGUCUGUAAUCUUACAAAAUAAAGCAGCACAAAAAGCUGUUCGGUAUUUGGAAUUCGAAGCAAGUAACAAUCGACAGGACAUCAGAGUCCGAGAAAGUCAGAGCUGACAUCGACAGUGAUUCCUGUGAAAGCGAUCACGAAAUCAACAUCGAUGUUGAAGAAGGCGAUCUCAAUGAAUACAUGAAGUAACGUUUCAUCCCGACUGAGAAGAUGGCCUGACUCUGUUAACCGGCGACUCUAUGAACGAGAUGCAAUGCGUACUAUUGCUGUGCAACUUAAGCAUCUGUACUCUGCAGGUGCCGUACUGGAAAAGCCCUAGAAGAUUCCUCAGCCGUAAGAAUGUAAGAAGGCCUUGAACAGGUUUCCAGAGUCAUGGCUAACAGUCAAAGCCAGCAGUGAGGCAGAAAAAAUUCAACAAAGUCGUCCAGGCAUGGCGAAGGCAAAAAGGCCCCAAAAAAACCAAAGUGAGGAUCAAACAUCUGGGUCAUUGCCUCCAGCCCCAUUUGUCUCAACAAAGGAGCAAAUUGAAGAUCCAUUGUUUUUAGUCAUUGUUUUGUGAUUUCCUGUACAUUUUACGUUAACAAAGGCCACUUAAGAUGUUUAGGGACAUUUUCAUUCGACAGUUUUCGCGCUGUACACCAAAAUUCCAUCAGUGGAUAAAUUUAUAACAAGUCAGUUCCACGGAUCAUGAAAGUCAGCUCGUUGGUAAAUCAGUGACUGUGAUGAACUCAUUAAUACCACUUUUAAUGGCCUAUGGAUUCAUCAAUGAAAUUCAUCAGCAACAGAUUUCAGGGAAUAUUCAUGGCCCAUUAAUUUUGUUCUCCCAAAACAA